rnacentral:rRNA from 1 species
GUCCAGACUCCUACGGGAGGCAGCAGUGGGGAAUAUUGCGCAAUGGGCGAAAGCCUGACGCAGCGACGCCGCGUGAGGGAUGAAGGUCUUCGGAUCGUAAACCUCUGUCAGCAGGGAAGAACGGUCACUGUGCUAAUCAGCAGUGAAUUGACGGUACCUGCAAAGGAAGCACCGGCUAACUCCGUGCCAGCAGCCGCGGUAAUACGUAGGUGGCAAGCGUUGUCCGGAUUUACUGGGUGUAAAGGGCGUGCAGCCGGGAAGACAAGUCAGAUGUGAAAUCCCGCGGCUCAACCGCGGAACUGCAUUUGAAACUGUUUUUCUUGAGUAUCGGAGAGGUAAUCGGAAUUCCUAGUGUAGCGGUGAAAUGCGUAGAUAUUAGGAAGAACACCAGUGGCGAAGGCGGAUUACUGGACGACAACUGACGGUGAGGCGCGAAAGCGUGGGGAGCAAACAGGAUUAGAUACCCCAGUAGCC